AUUGAACGCUGGCGGCAGGCCUAACACAUGCAAGUCGAGCGGAUGAAGGGAGCUUGCUCCUGGAUUCAGCGGCGGACGGGUGAGUAAUGCCUAGGAAUCUGCCUGGUAGUGGGGGAUAACGUCCGGAAACGGGCGCUAAUACCGCAUACGUCCUGAGGGAGAAAGUGGGGGAUCUUCGGACCUCACGCUAUCAGAUGAGCCUAGGUCGGAUUAGCUAGUUGGUGGGGUAAAGGCCUACCAAGGCGACGAUCCGUAACUGGUCUGAGAGGAUGAUCAGUCACACUGGAACUGAGACACAGUCCAGACUCCUACGGGAGGCAGCAGUGGGGAAUAUUGGACAAUGGGCGAAAGCCUGACCCAGCCAUGCCGCGUGUGUGAAGAAGGUCUUCGGAUUGUAAAGCACUUUAAGUUGGGAGGAAGGGCAGUAAGUUAAUACCUUGCUGUUUUGACGUUACCAACAGAAUAAGCACCGGCUAACUUCGUG
rnacentral:rRNA from 1 species